CAUAGCGCUUUAAUUGCUCAAAUACUCUGCUAUUUGAAAACAAUGCAAGCAUGGUCAUCAUCGCCUCCUCCUCCAAUUCUUCAUUAAUUUCCUUCGCCUUCACUGUCGCCUUCUUCCUCCUCAUCAAUCCUUCCUCUUCUUCGGGCAACUUUGUGGUGGAGGAGAAGGCUCGAUUGGGAUCGACGCCGCCGAGCUGCCAAAACAGGUGCAAUUUGUGCCACCCGUGCAUGGCGGUGCAGGUGCCGACGACGCCGAGCCGCGGCCGAGUCUUUCCGAGUCGAAUCGGCGGCGAAUCGCUCACCGAUGAAAACAGGUACUCCAAUUACAAGCCGCUCGGAUGGAAGUGCAGAUGCCAAGGCCAUUUCUAUAACCCCUAAUUAAUUAAUUAAUUAAUUAAUUAUUAAUCACAAGCGAUAUUCCUAAUUAUCCUAAUUUGAUUUUUGAUCAAUAAUGUAAGUGUAUAUUUUGUGUUGCUUGUUUAUUUAUUUAACCGAUAAUUUUAAUUAGGUGGAAUAUAUAUAUA